AGGGACAGCUGCAAAAGAUGCAACUCAGAAAAGCGGAGGGCAUGUGCAGCAGAUUGUCGAGAAAGCUAUCGAUCAGGGUGCAGAAGCUUUGAAGAAAAAAGGGGUUGAGUUGAUUAAUUCCAACGCUGGUAACUUACCAAGUUUCUCAAAAUGAUCAGCAACAUGAAGCAAGUGUAAAUUGUCACUGUUAAACUACAUCUCACGUAUUUGUAAAAGAAAAUUAGUCCAUUUAACUGAAUAAAACAUAUUGAUAAAAUCA